GGGGCCGUAACGGGUACUAAUACAUGCAGUCGAGCGGACAGAUGGGAGCUUGCUCCCUGAUGUUAGCGGCGGACGGGUGAGUAACACGUGGGUAACCUGCCUGUAAGACUGGGAUAACUCCGGGAAACCGGGGCUAAUACCGGAUGGUUGUUUGAACCGCAUGGUUCAGACAUAAAAGGUGGCUUCGGCUACCACUUACAGAUGGACCCGCGGCGCAUUAGCUAGUUGGUGAGGUAACGGCUCACCAAGGCGACGAUGCGUAGCCGACCUGAGAGGGUGAUCGGCCACACUGGGACUGAGACACGGCCCAGACUCCUACGGGAGGCAGCAGUAGGGAAUCUUCCGCAAUGGACGAAAGUCUGACGGAGCAACGCCGCGUGAGUGAUGAAGGUUUUCGGAUCGUAAAGCUCUGUUGUUAGGGAAGAACAAGUGCCGUUCAAAUAGGGCGGCACCUUGACGGUACCUAACCAGAAAGCCACGGCUAACUACGUGCCAGCAGCCGCGGUAAUACGUAGGUGGCAAGCGUUGUCCGGAAUUAUUGGGCGUAAAGGGCUCGCAGGCGGUUUCUUAAGUCUGAUGUGAAAGCCCCCGGCUCAACCGGGGAGGGUCAUUGGAAACUGGGGAACUUGAGUGCAGAAGAGGAGAGUGGAAUUCCACGUGUAGCGGUGAAAUGCGUAGAGAUGUGGAGGAACACCAGUGGCGAAGGCGACUCUCUGGUCUGUAACUGACGCUGAGGAGCGAAAGCGUGGGGAGCGAACAGGAUUAGAUACCCUGGUAGUCCACGCCGUAAACGAUGAGUGCUAAGUGUUAGGGGUUUCCGCCCCUUAGUGCUGCAGCUAACGCAUUAAGCACUCCGCCUGGGGAGUACGGUCGCAAGACUGAAAACUCAAAAGGAAUUGACGGGGGCCCGCACAAGCCGUUGGAGCAUGGUGGGUUUUAAUUUCGAAGCACCGCCGAAGUACCCUUACCAGGGUCUUGACAUCCCUCUGACAAUCCCUAGAGAUAAGGACGUCCCCCUUCCGGGAGGCAGAAUUGACAGUGGGGUGGCAAUGAGUCGUCAGCCUCCUGUCCUGAAUGUUGGGUUAGUCCCGCAACGACGCAACCUGGAAUCAUAGUUUACCAGCAUUCAUGGCCACUUCUAGGGGACAUGUCGGUGCCAACCGGAAGAAGGUGGGAAUGCAGCCCAAUUCCAUCAGUGCCCCCUUAUAGCAUCCGUGGUGCUAC
rnacentral:rRNA from 1 species